GGCCACAUGGCGCAACGGUAGCAUGCGCGAGAUUCGUAUACGUUGACCAAUGUAUGCUCGCGAGGUCUUCGUUCGAUUCGGAGUCUGGCCA